rnacentral:piRNA from 1 species
UACCUUUAGGGAAAAUGCUCUGGGU